rnacentral:rRNA from 1 species
AACGAACGCUGGCGGCAUGCCUAACACAUGCAAGUCGAACGAGACCUUCGGGUCUAGUGGCGUACGGGUGCGUAACGCGUGGGAACCUGCCCUUAGGUUCGGAAUAACUCCCCGAAAGGGGUGCUAAUACCGGAUAAUGUCUUCGGACCAAAGAUUUAUCGCCUUUGGAUGGGCCCGCGUUGGAUUAGCUAGUUGGUAGGGUAAAAGCCUACCAAGGCGACGAUCCAUAGCUGGUCUGAGAGGAUGAUCAGCCACACUGGGACUGAGACACGGCCCAGACUCCUACGGGAGGCAGCAGUGGGGAAUAUUGGGCAAUGGGCGAAAGCCUGAUCCAGCAAUGCCGCGUGAGUGAUGAAGGCCUUAGGGUUGUAAAGCUCUUUUACCCGGGAUGAUAAUGACAGUACCGGGAGAAUAAGCUCCGGCUAACUCCGUG